AAAUGCCCCUAACCCUAAUUUUUGAAAAUAAAACCCUAACCCUAAAACCCUACCCGGUUACCCGUUGCAUCUCCUCAUGCCCCAGCAGCCAAACACACAGUUUUCCAACUGAAUGAAAGAAAGAAAGAACGGGUUAGGAGGAAACGGGAAGAAGCAGAGAGGGGGAGAGGGACAGAGAGCGGCGGUGUGAGAGGAAGAGAGGGACGAGGCAGCACCGGUGGACCUUGCUGCCGCCGUCGUGCUGAGCCGUCGCAUUCUGCAUCGUUGUACACCAAAGAAAGAGAGAGAAAGAUCGGGUAGGAAUCAGGGGACCGAAGGCGGAGGGAGUGCGGCAGGGGAAGCCAUCGCCGCCAGUCACCGUCGCAAGGCUCUGCUGCAUCCCCACCGCGCUUGGGUGUUGUUGAAGCCACACCUACUGCCGCUGCUACUAGGGUCUGCCGCCGUCUUGUCCCUGGAGCCUGAGCCGCGCAUCUGUCACCGAACCAGAGGAGCUCAUCCUUGCUGAGUCGCCGCCAUCUUGCCUCUGCCGGCGAGCACGAAGAGAGAGGGAGACGGGAGUUUGCACAGCAGAGAGAGGGAGAGCGCGACAGGGGAGACCAUCGCCGCCUGGGUCGCCGUCGCCGGGCCUCCUUGUCGUCGCCAGUUCUGCUUGUUCUAUCGCCGGGAAACUCGUCGCUGUGGGGGUCUCACUGCCGCCGUCCUUGUUGUGGCUGGUGUCGUCACCGCGGAAGCCACCUGCGUCACCGCUGGAGGAAGGGAGAUCCGCGCCGUUGCUGCGAUUUAUGCCGCCGGAAUUGCUCUGCCGCUGCCAGAAUUUCUGGUCGCUGCCGUUCUGGUGAGCUUGCUCUGUUACUGGUUCUUAGUUUCGCCAAUUCAAUUUGUUUGAAGCUGUCACUGAAACUAUUGUGUUUAAUAAAGGGGCUGUCAUAUGUUACGUUGUCGCUGCCGGAGGACCUGCGGCUCUACAUUUUCGACCGCCGGUGGUGGCGCGGGUGUUGCUGGAAACACCAUCGGAACUGCCGCUACUCGGUGUAGUUGUUCUUCCCUUGUUGCGAUAAGCAGGCUCAUUUCGAAAAGCCCUUUUUAGUCAGUAUUUUUGUUUCGAAAGCCCUGCAUUAGUGUUCAAUUCCGUGUAAUAAAGUGUUUAUGAUGUUGACGGUUCUAGGGAUUAGAAUCCGAGUUUACUUGUGGCGUUGAGGUUGUCCUGGGUCGCGUCGCCGGGCCUCCUUGUCGUCGCCAGUUCUGCUUGUUCUAUCGCCGGGAAACUCGUCGCUGUGGGGGUCUCACUGCCGCCGUCCUUGUUGUGGCUGGUGUCGUCACCGCGGAAGCCACCUGCGUCACCGCUGGAGGAAGGGAGAUCCGCGCCGUUGCUGCGAUUUAUGCCGCCGGAAUUGCUCUGCCGCUGCCAGAAUUUCUGGUCGCUGCCGUUCUGGUGAGCUUGCUCUGUUACUGGUUCUUAGUUUCGCCAAUUCAAUUUGUUUGAAGCUGUCACUGAAACUAUUGUGUUUAAUAAAGGGGCUGUCAUAUGUUACGUUGUCGCUGCCGGAGGACCUGCGGCUCUACAUUUUCGACCGCCGGUGGUGGCGCGGGUGUUGCUGGAAACACCAUCGGAACUGCUGCUACUCAGUGUAGUUGUUCUUCCCUUGUUGCGGUAAGCAGGCUCAUUUCGAAAAGCCCAUUUUAGUCAGUAUUUCUGUUUUGAAAGCCCUGCAUUAGUGUUCAAUUCCGUGUAAUAAAGUGUUUAUGAUGUUGACGGUUCUAGGGAUUAGAAUCCGAGUUUACUUGUGGCGUUGAGGUUGUUUCUUCUAUUGAAGAAAACACGCGGAGCUGAGGAUUUGGUUGCCGUCAGUUCGGGUUGAGGCGGAAAUUGACUUGAUGAGGCGUUUGGACUAUGGAAUUGCGUUUUGAGGUAGGGGCGCUUUCCAAAAACUGUGUUUCAUGUAUUGGAAUUAUUACAUAUGGAUACUGGUGCGAGAUAUUGUGUAUUUGGUGAUUGUAUCUGCCUUAUGUAUUAUUUGAUUGACUCGAAUGACUAUGGAUGUUGGUUUGGCUGAAUUGUGGUGCGN
rnacentral:lncRNA from 1 species